rnacentral:rRNA from 1 species
AGUCGACGGUUAAGCAUCUUCGGAUGUGUAUAAAGUGGCGAACGGCUGAGUAACACGUGGGCAACCUGCCCUUUGCACUGGGAUAGCCUCGGGAAACCGAGGUUAAUACCGGAUACUCCAUAUUUGUCGCAUGGCGAAUAUGGGAAAGCUCCGGCGGCAAAGGAUGGGCCCGCGGCCUGUUAGCUAGUUGGUGGGGUAGUGGCCUACCAAGGCAAUGAUGGGUAGCCGGGUUGAGAGACCGACCGGCCAGAUUGGGACUGAGACACGGCCCAGACUCCUACGGGAGGCAGCAGUGGGGAAUCUUGCACAAUGGGCGAAAGCCUGAUGCAGCGACGCCGCGUGCGGGAUGAAGGCCUUCGGGUUGUAAACCGCUUUCAGCAGGGACGAGGCCGCAAGGUGACGGUACCUGCAGAAGAAGCCCCGGCUAACUACGUGCCAGCAGCCGCGGUAAUACGUAGGGGGCAAGCGUUAUCCGGAUUCAUUGGGCGUAAAGCGCGCGUAGGCGGUCUGUUAGGUCAGGAGUUAAAUCUGGGGGCUCAACCCCUAUCCGCUCCUGAUACCGGCAGGCUUGAGUCUGGUAGGGGAAGAUGGAAUCCCAAGUGUAGCGGUGAAAUGCGCAGAUAUUUGGAAGAACACCGGUGGCGAAGGCGGUCUUCUGGGCCAUGACUGACGCUGAGGCGCGAAAGCUAGGGGAGCGAACAGGAUUAGAUACCCUGGUAGUCCUAGCUGUAAACGAUGGACACUAGGUGUGGGGAGAUUAUACUUUCCGUGCCGCAGCUAACGCAUUAAGUGUCCCGCCUGGGGAGUACGGUCGCAAGAC